UUGCAGAAUUAACAUCUUUGGAUGAAGAAGAGAGCAUCAGAGUCAUCAAGCUGCCCAACUACCCCGCAGCACCAAAGAAACUCCAAUCCAUUCACAACACCGACAUAUUAAACAAUGUUUAUUCUGAAGAUGAAACCAUGUCUGUUGCUGACGGUACUCAGGCCAAAGAGACAUCCACAUUUCUUAACCUUUUGGAAGCCUUCACCAGCUCUAAGGGAUCUCAAAUGUCGACUCCCAGCUCUUCACCUAUGCAAUGAUGGCAAAAUUCAAUAUGAAGGGGAAACACGGCAAGAGAUCUUUGAAGAAGUCAAAGUUUUAUAGAGCAAUAAAAGAUGGAAUCAUGAAUGGUGAUGAAGUAGCCACAGAAGACUUCAUAAGGACACAUGCUGCAGAGCAUCUGAAACAUGCACCACAAAGAAGUGGAGGACACAAAGCCAUCACUCAGGACUGAUUAGAGCUGUAGGGCUGUGGAAUUUUAUAUUUUUAUUUGUAUGUUUUUUAUGUAGUAAAAACGGUGUUAAUAUGCAACUUGUUAAUCUGUGAAUCCGAUCAAAAAAAAGUUGCAAAGGGAUGUGUUUAUUUAAUUUUUAAUUUUUUUUAUUUGAUGUGUGGUACAGACCCGUGCGUGUGUAAAUAUUUUUGUUUUGCAGCCAGUAAGCUACCUGUUAUAUCAAUUACAAAAAUAAAGAUAAAGAUUAUAACUUUAAA